rnacentral:rRNA from 1 species
CUACGGGUGGCACCAGUGAGGAAUAUUGCACAAUGGGGGGAACCCUGAUGCAGCAACGCCGCGUGGAGGAUGACGCAUUUCGGUGUGUAAACUCCUUUUAUAUGUCAAGAAAAUGACGGUAGCAUAUGAAUAAGCACCGGCUAACUCCGUGCCAGCAGCCGCGGUAAUACGGAGGGUGCAAGCGUUACUCGGAAUCACUGGGCGUAAAGGACGCGUAGGCGGGCUUGUAAGUCAGGUGUGAAAUCCUACAGCUUAACUGUAGAACUGCACUUGAAACUACGAGCCUAGAGUAUGGGAGGGGCAGAUGGAAUUAGUGGUGUAGGGGUAAAAUCCGUAGAUAUCACUAGGAAUACCUAAAGCGAAGGCGAUCUGCUGGAACAUUACUGACGCUAAGGCGUGAAAGCGUGGGGAGCAAACAGGAUUAGAUACCCUAGUAGUC